AGAAAGUAAAUUCAAUAGUAUAUCUACUCUUGCUGUGAUUCAACAAACACUUCACAUUAACUUUCAGAAAUUCAAAAUGUGCACACAUCAAACAAUAUCUCUCCCAAAUUUUAUUUAAAAUUGAAAAGUUUUUACUUUUGCAUUCAAGUCUUGAAUUGCUUCUUUUAAUGGUAAUCGAUUGCGACACAGAAUUUAUAUUAAACUACUUGUCAACGGCUUGAUGUCACUAUCAGUUAAGUAUGGUUGUCUUAUCGGCAUUCCAAGUGGAUAACCAGUUGUGCUCGUGUCAAAGUUAACAAGCCGCUGACAACGCCUCGAUGGUAAUAAAAGCAAUGCAGCCGGCAUUUCACAGAGUGCCACACUGAUAUCUUCCGCUGUCAAAUUUAACUAGCAGUUAAAAAGAGAUUACUAAAUACUUAAAUCGCGACACGCUGCCAUGUGGAGCACUGUGCGAGGAGGCCACGCAACGGCAUUUGCGGACUUGCUACAUGCAAAUUGUGGCCAAGCGCGAUGUGUCAACAACUCUCGGCGAUCGCAUUCAAAUUUGGUGUUCCGUCGAAUCCUGCUAACCCUGCCCCCGUACCGCUGUUCACCCCAGGGCAAUGCACGCGCCAAGGCUUUUCCUUGCAUCGAACCGCUAAUCGCCUGAAUGGGGCAUGGAAAUUGAAAUUGGAAAUUGGAGCUACAGUAUGUAUAUGUAUGUAGACUAUGCUAUAUGUGCAUCUGUGUGUGAAUAGAUGGAAAUGAUACGCACGCCAGACGCAGGUGACCGACUUCCCAAAUGCAACGUGAUGUGAGUGAGCUCCACUAAAGGCGAUUUCUGUGCAUUGUCUUCACUGAGGGUGGAGGCGUGCCCGAUGUGAAGCCGUUGAUAUUGAGCACGUAGCCCAAAAAUGGAUGCCAUGAAAUGGCUCUUAAUGCUCACUAAAUAAAUACUUGGCAUGCAUGGAUAAUAUUGAUAUUAAUAUUAAGCGACAACGGAAGAAAAUUGCACAGAACCGAAAGAUAUUCGCUUGGAUUCCAUGUAAGUUGUUCCGACUCGAACGAACUCGUUGCGGCUUCCGCUUAGCUCCCUUUACGCUUUGUUUCAACUCUGCGGUUGAGCCCGAUCAAUCUUAAUGGCCUGGCCUCACACAAUGGCCCGGAAUAUGGGUAGAUGCGUAUAAAUAUUUACGACCCUUAAUUGGUAAAGGCUUCGACGUUUGGGGCAACAGAGAGCGAGAUUUUAGAUACCAGCUGAGUGCAUCGUUGGAAAUUUUGCAAAUGGCAAAUGGCAAAUGGCAAGUGGCAUGUGGCAGCUGGCAGCAGCAAAACACCUAACAAAACUGGCCAGAACGACGAAGACUAGGUCUAGCUGAAUUGAUAGAAAGACGUCAGCACUGAGGGGCACUCGAGUCCAAGUCCAACGGCAACAACAAAGAAACAAGAAAUCUAUCGGGUAAUGGAAUCGAAAUGGCAUCCCAUACAUCUUCGAGCUACACAAUGAGAGUGCGACAGAGAGAUGGAGUGGAGAGAGGAGAGCCAGCGUGGUCUUCAUUAAAAGUCAAUCAAAUAAAAUAAACUCAUUGACUUUCUAUAGAGAAUCCUAAUUGGGCAACAAAUAACAACAACAGCAACAACAAUGGCUAGAGAAGAAACUGAAAACAAAAACAAAAAAUUAAUUCAAUCAACUCGAAGAGAAAAGAAAAUCUACACUAAAAUGAAGCAGACAAUGGACGAAUCCAAAAGCAUAUUGUCAAUAAUAUUGAGUGACGCAUGCCAAAUGCUUUCAAUAGAAGAGUCCAUAAAAAUUAAUCAAUUUACAUAUAUUUUCAGUCUGUUAACAUGAACAGCGAAACGCUCUCCAAAGAAUUUUUACUACCCUCGCGGCAUUUCUAAGCAGCUGCCAAUAAAAACGAUGACGAUCCAACUGGAGAGUUAGAACAGGUGAUUAGUUCGUAAAUUAGUUAAACACGGCUGCAUUGCAGGAAAAGUUGCUCUAAAUGAAAAUAAAUUGAAGGAGCUAUUACUAUUAA